AGAAAGAGGGUGAAACAAACGCAGUGUCAACCAGUCAAAGAAGGAGUCAUUCGUGGAAGAAGCAACAUCAAUUUGCUUAGCAAUAACCAACUUAUCCAGUGCAGUAUAUUCAACAACCGUAUGUGGCAGCAGUCACACCAAAUUUCAACCAGUCACAAGCUCCUGUCUAUCAACCUAUUCAACAAGCACCAGUAUACCAAUAAGCACCCAUGCCACCCGCUUAUCAACAGCCGAGGGCACAGGCUCCACAUCCACAAAAUCUUCCAAAUCAAAAUUG
rnacentral:lncRNA from 1 species